rnacentral:rRNA from 1 species
UGUUGGGGAACCAGGACUUUUACUUUGAAAAAAUUAGAGUGUUCAAAGCAGGCCUUUGCUCGAAUACAUUAGCAUGGAAUAAUAGAAUAGGACGCGCGUUCCCAUUUUGUUG